AUGCAAAUCAGCCUGAAGCUGCUUAUGUAUAUGUGAAUAUCCGUAAUUAGUACAUAUGCCUCCCCGGCAUAGACAGGUAAGA
rfam:Bacteroides clarus YIT 12056 genomic scaffold Scfld4, whole genome shotgun sequence.